rnacentral:tRNA from 1 species
GUCGGGAUAGCUCAGUUGGUANAGCAGAGGACUGAAAAUC